AUGGGGAGCUGGAGGACUAGAGGGGAAGAAGCGAGUGGUAGGGGUGGUGGAGUGGGGGGCUGGAGGACUAGAGGGGAAGAAGCAGGUGUUAAGGGUGUUGGAGUGGGGGGCUGGAGGACUAGAUGAGGAGAUGAAGCGGGUGGUAAGGGUGGUGGAGUGGGGGGCUGGAGGACUAGAGGAGGGGAAGAAGCAGGUGGUAAGGGUGGUGGAGUGGGGGGCUGGAGGACUAGAGGAGGGGAAGAGGCAGGUGGUAAGGGUGUUGGAGUGGGGGGCUGGAGGACUAGAGGAGGGGAAGAGGCGGGUUGUAGGGGUGGUGGAGUGGGGUGUUGGAGGACUAGAGGAGGGGAAGAAGCAGGUGGUAAGGGUGGUGGAGUGGGGGGCUGGAGGACUAGAGGGGAAGAAGCGGGUGGUAAGGGUGGUGGAGUGGGGGCUGGAGGACUAGAUGAGGAGAAGAAGCGGGUUGUAGGGGUGGUGGAGUGGGGUGCUGGAGGACUAGAGGAGGGGAAGAAGCAGGUGGUAAGGGUGGUGGAGUGGGGGGCUGGAGGACUAGAGGAGGGGAAGAGGCAGGUGGUAAGGGUGGUGGAGUGGGGGGCUGGAGGACUAGAGGAGGGGAAGAGGCAGGUGGUAAGGGUGGUGGAGUGGGGGGCUGGAGGACUAGAGGAGGGGAAGAGGCAGGUGGUAAGGGUGGUGGAGUGGGGGGCUGGAGGACUAGAGGAG